UAGACGUUCGAGCAGUUUGAGUUCGGGCAAAAUACGCACAGCCCUGUUCCAUUUGAGCUUGCCUAUAGAGGGUGCUCAAUGCAACAGGAUGGGCAAACUUAAAAGCAUAGAACAUAAUUUAUGUAAAAAGGGACUAUAAAAGAGGCGGAAGGCGUAGAAUCUUUCUCUUUUGUAAAACCAGUGAUCCUUGAAAGAAGUAGUAGUGCGCGCGUGUGUAAAUAAUAGAAGGAUCUGUUAGUCGUUAAAAAUAGUUGUUGUAAUGGUAAAGUAGUACGGUUUUGUGUAGAUUAAAAGCUAUUAGUACGUUUAAAUCCUGUAAAACAACACAAGAACAGAAAAACGACAGUAACAAACAAAUUAAAAGUCACCGAGAAAAAGGUGAAUAUCAUGUGCUGUGAACAGAUCAGAAAGUUUAGAGGUUAGGAAGUGACGUCGCAGGGUGCUAAUCCGUUGUGUCCAGGUCCAUGCCAAAGAAACCUUUUUCUUUUGUACCUUUUUUCAAAGUUCUCGUCAGUGGAGUGGUGGAGGCUUCCGGAGAGGAAAGACUAGUGUUCGUGCGCCGGCCGUAUAGAUCCCGACGAUUUGGACGCCGGAGACUUUCGGUCCAAAUCCGUGCCGCCAUUGCUUUUGAGCACGCGGGAUUGCCGUUUGCCGAACGUAGGCCGCCAUCUUCAAGUCAUAUUCCCAAGCAAGCACUCGUUUCACCAGGUAAUCAACAACCGAACCACGACGAACGCCAAGCCGGCCAGAUAACGCUUGAUCGGCCACAUCUUCAACAGAAAACACCAAACCAAGCGCAAGUACCCUUGAAUGUGACGUCACAAAUAAAUUGUUAAUUAUAUUAGCCUCAGGUGUAGCAUUCUGCAACGGGGUACGGGGUGGAAUCGAACCUGGGGACCCUGAACGUUCGGGGAAACUGUAGGAACAUCGCCCAAGACCGACGAUUAUGGAGCUCUACGAUACGCCAGGCAUAGGUGUAUCGACGCUGUAGCCAACCAGGAAUCCAGGCAUCCAGGUAGGUGAUGCCUGUGUUUUUUUUUUCUUCUUCCUAAACAAUGGAGGGGGAAUCUGCUCAACAGACAUCCUGGGUUGACCAGGAAGUGCUGGGUUAGGGGCCACCUCCAAUGAGGGAGGCAGGGCUGCAUCCCCGACCAGCUAAACCGUUUCCAUUGCCGCCAAGCCCAUCGUCCCUUCGG